rnacentral:rRNA from 1 species
UGGGCGUAAAGAGCUCGUAGGUGGUUUGUCGCGUUGUUCGUGAAAUCUCACGGCUUAACUGUGAGCGUGCGGGCGAUACGGGCAGACUUGAGUACUGCAGGGGAGACUGGAAUUCCUGGUGUAGCGGUGGAAUGCGCAGAUAUCAGGAGGAACACCGGUGGCGAAGGCGGGUCUCUGGGCAGUAACUGACGCUGAGGAGCGAAAGCGUGGGGAGCGAACAGGAUUAGAUACCCUGGUAGUCCACGCCGUAAACGGUGGGUACUAGGUGUGGGUUUCCUUCCUUGGGAUCCGUGCCGUAGCUAACGCAUUAAGUACCCCGCCUGGGGAGUACGGCCGCAAGGCUAAAACUCAAAGAAAUCGACGGGGGCCCGCACAAGCGGCGGAGCAUGUGGAUUAAUUCGAUGCAACGCGAAGAACCUUACCUGGGUUUGACAUGCACAGGACGCCGGCAGAGAUGUCGGUUCCCUUGUGGCCUGUGUGCAGGUGGUGCAUGGCUGUCGUCAGCUCGUGUCGUGAGAUGUUGGGUUAAGUCCCGCAACGAGCGCAACCCUUGUCUCAUGUUGCCAGCGGGUAAUGCCGGGGACUCGUGAGAGACUGCCGGGGUCAACUCGGAGGAAGGUGGGGAUGACGUCAAGUCAUCAUGCCCCUUAUGUCCAGGGCUUCACACAUGCUACAAUGGCCGGUACAAAGGGCUGCGAUGCCGCGAGGUUAAGCGAAUCCUUUUAAAGCCGGUCUCAGUUCGGAUCGGGGUCUGCAACUCGACCCCGUGAAGUCGGAGUCGCUAG